rnacentral:rRNA from 1 species
CACGUAGGGCGCAAGCGUUGUCCGGAAUUAUUGGGCGUAAAGAGCUCGUAGGCGGUCUGUUACGUCUGCUGUGAAAACCCGGGGCUUAACCCUGGGCUUGCAGUGGAUACGGGCAGACUAGAGGCAGGUAGGGGAGAAUGGAAUUCCCGGUGAAGCGGUGAAAUGCGCAGAUAUCGGGAGGAACACCGGUGGCGAAGGCGGUUCUCUGGGCCUGACCUGACGCUGAGGAGCGAAAGCGUGGGGAGCGAACAGG